GGAAAAGGCAAAAUUGUGGAUUAAAUUGGAGCAAGACGAGGAUAUGAGACAUGUACUAGUGGAGAACCUAUCAUCACAUACCCACGUCAUCCCGAAGCAUAGUGCUGUAGUAUUGGGCGCCAUCACGACCUAUAGGUGAAAUUGGAUCGUGACAACCAUGGCAAGCCAUAUACCGACUUACCACGCUCAUUGCUUGUGAAAUGUCUGGACGUGUACAAACCAUUGCAUACAUAAUACUGCCGACUGCACUGGAAUAAGGAACCUGUGCCAUAUACCUCUCUUCUACCUCUGACUGCGGGGACUGAGCAGCUGAUAACUUGGACUGAGCAGCUGAUAACUUAAAAUGAGCAGCAAGAAGGGUACUAACUGGUUUAGCACCUUUCAUGCCAAACCUCU